GAUGAACGCUGGCGGCGUGCUUAACACAUGCAAGUCGAACGAUGAAGCCCAGCUUGCUGGGUGGAUUAGUGGCGAACGGGUGAGUAACACGUGAGUAACCUGCCCUUAACUCUGGGAUAAGCCUGGGAAACUGGGUCUAAUACCGGAUAGGAGCGUCCACCGCAUGGUGGGUGUUGGAAAGAUUUAUCGGUUUUGGAUGGACUCGCGGCCUAUCAGCUUGUUGGUGAGGUAAUGGCUCACCAAGGCGACGACGGGUAGCCGGCCUGAGAGGGUGACCGGCCACACUGGGACUGAGACACGCCCAGACUCCUACGGGAGGCAGCAGUGGGGAAUAUUGCACAAUGGGCGAAAGCCUGAUGCAGCGACGCCGCGUGAGGGAUGACGGCCUUCGGGUUGUAAACCUCUUUCAGUAGGGAAGAAGCGAAAGUGACGGUACCUGCAGAAGAAGCACCGGCUAACUACGUG
rnacentral:rRNA from 1 species